GGCAACGUGCCUGAGUGGUUAAAGGGUAUGACUCGAACCCAUCACAUGAUGAUGAUUAGUAAUCAUAUGACUUCGGUCGCACAGGUUCGAAUCCUGUCGUUGUCG
rfam:Magnaporthe oryzae 70-15 chromosome 3, whole genome shotgun sequence.